CUACCAUGUCUAUCACGGGUAACGGAGAAUUAGGGUUCGAUUCCGGAGAGGGAGCCUGAGAAAUGGCUACCACAGCUACGGUAGGCAGCAGGUGCGUAAAUUACCCAAUCCAAAUUCUGGAAGGUAGUUACAGGAAAUUUGUUGCGCGUGAUUUAUCACCGACACAACCGAACACAUUUAAGCAUUGUGUGUUUAAUUGGAGGGCAAGUUUGGUGCCAGCAGCCGCGGUAAUUCCAACUCCAAGAGUGUAUCUUAAUGUUGCUGCAGUUAAAAAGCUCGCAGUUGAAUUUCUGAAGAUGGGAGAAGCUCACGCGGAUCCCGUCUUCAUCCGCUCGGAGAGGCUAGGGAACUUUAAUCGGGACUCUAGAUGACCCAGCAUUUUACUUUGAAGAAAUUAGAGUGUUCAUGGCAGGCCUUGCUUGCAUAAAUUAGCAUGGAAUAAUGGAAUAAGACUAGUCUGUUUUAUUGGUUGACAGAAUAGUAAUGAUUAACAGGGACAGUCGGGGGCAUUCGUACUCAGUGGCCAGAGGUGGAAUUCUUAGACUCGCUGAAGACGCACUAAUGCGAAAGCAUUUGCCAAGGAUGUUUUCAUUAAUCAAGAACGAAAGUUAGGGGAUC
rnacentral:rRNA from 1 species